rnacentral:rRNA from 1 species
UACGUAGGGUGCGAGCGUUGAUCGGAAUUACUGGGCGUAAAGCGUGCGCAGGCGGUGAUGUAAGACAGAUGUGAAAUCCCCGGGCUCAACCUGGGAACUGCAUUUGUGACUGCAUCGCUGGAGUGCGGCAGAGGGGGAUGGAAUUCCGCGUGUAGCAGUGAAAUGCGUAGAUAUGCGGAGGAACACCGAUGGCGAAGGCAAUCCCCUGGGCCUGCACUGACGCUCAUGCACGAAAGCGUGGGGAGCAAAC